UACGGAGGGUGCAAGCGUUAUCCGGAUUCACUGGGUUUAAAGGGUGCGUAGGUGGGUCUGUAAGUCAGUGGUGAAAUCUCCGGGCUUAACCCGGAAACUGCCAUUGAUACUAUAGGUCUUGAAUUUUCUGGAGGUCAGCGGAAUAUGUCAUGUAGCGGUGAAAUGCUUAGAUAUGACAUAGAACACCAAUUGCGAAGGCAGCUGACUACAGGAACAUUGACACUGAGGCACGAAAGCGUGGGGAUCAAACAGG
rnacentral:rRNA from 1 species